ensembl:lncRNA
UUUUUUUUUUUGGCAAGUGAACAAUAUUUUGGGAUGUAAAGGAGCUCUUUGACAGGUUUCUUCAGAGACCUAACUUAAGAACUAGGCACCAAGGGGUGAGGGACUGAUGGGGAGUUGGGGUUAGUGGCUGCAGAUUAUUGCCUCUAGAACGGAUAUGCCAUGAGAUCCUGCUGCACAGCAUCGGGAACCGCGCCCAGUCUCGGGAUAGAGCCUGAUGGAAGAUGAUAUAAGGAAAGGAAUGCCCAUAUACGUAUGACGGGGUCACUUUGCUGUGCAGCAGAAAGGAGCACCCUGCCGUAAAUCAACUAUAAUUUAAAAAAGUGGAUUUUUGUUUGUUUUUUUAAAAGCUUGGCAGCCGAAAAAGUUCUUGGGUUAACCGGAGCAUUGAUGCAGGCCUGUUCUGAGAUCUCACAUGGAUGGCUGAUCUGUGUCUAAUGCUGGAUGUGGUGAUUAUGACGCAAAGGACAGGGAACCUGUUGUAUUAAACGUGAUAGAUUCUCACUGAUUGAGAAUCAAAGGGGUAUAAAGAGGGAGAGAAAAGGACUGAGUUUCCAGCAGGGAGGGAGAGCAUCUUCUUGGUAGAGGUGGUGUCCCUUUUAAAACUUUCUUCUAACCUUUUUGUUACAUGUAUUCGUAGGUGUUUUUUCUGAUAAUUUGAAUUCCUUUCUUUGGUUUUUCCCCUAGGGCUUGUUUUUAGAACCAUAACUGUAUACAUUGAAUCCAUUGUUUCUUUAGGCAGUAGCUUUUGACUGCUGUUUAUAACAGUGAGAGUUAAUAUAUUUUCACUUGUGUCCUCAUUUCUUCUGAUACUCCAUUGUAGCUGAUUUUAUUAUUUUUUACUUCUGCCAAUAGCUGCCUGUAUAAUUUAGGUAAACUUCGUAUAUCUUAAUUUUUUAUUAUCAGCUGUUCAGUGGUGGGGCUCCAUGUUCACUGUGCUCUCCCAAUUUUUGGCAGUUGUUAGGUAAAUGCUAUUUGGUAGCUUGAAUUUUGCUUUUUUUCUCCUCAGCUAAAAUUGAUACUCAUGGCCUCGCCUGGUUCUUUCUAUUGAUUAUGGUAGAAGCAGUAUCAUGGUUUUUUCCCCUAUUCGUUACAAACUAUUUUACCAGUUCUUAUUUUUUUGCAAUUUGUGACAUAGGAAGUGCACGUUUUUUGUUUUGGGCUGUACCCAUGUCAUGUGGAAGUUCCCAGGCCAGGGAUCUAACCCUCGCCACUGUAGGAACCAGAGCCACGGCAGUGAAAAUGCCAGAUCCUUAACCGACUGAGCCACAGGGGAGCUCGUAAAGUAUAAAUAUUUUAGUGCUGUGAUAUUUCUUAUGUUCUAUCAAAGUUUCUUUUAAUUUUGUGUCCAUUCUUCCCCCGCUUGAGAGCAGAUGAAUACUCUGAUACUUCCUCUGGUUGACUGAAUAUUUAGAUAGGACUCUGCCUCAUCUGGAGUUUAAGGGUGUGCUUUGUCAUCAGAACUGUAAGUUUUCUUAUUUUCUUAUUUGAAAGAUGACUCCCUGGCGAGGACCUCUGGUGGGAAAGUGGAGUGAUAGAGCCUUGAUGUUCCUUGUUUGCUCUUUCCCAGACCAUCCGUGACUACACAAUCCAGUGUCUGCACUAAUAAAAAAAGAGUCACCAGGUUAGGACCAAACUGUUGGAAAAAUCAAGAAAAACAUCACCUGAGCUGCAUUGAGUGAAAUUUCAAUUUCCUGUUGAAAACUUAAAAGACAGGUUAUAUUUUGGAAAGUCGUCCAAAAAUGAUUUUCAACACUUGCUAGGAGAUAGAAUGAAAAUAAACCAGAGUCCAAAUUUAGCCCAACAACCCUCACAUAUGGUUUUAAGCUAAUACAUUUUUCCUGACAGCUGAACGAAAACUAAGAAGGUAAUUAAUGAUUAUAUUCAUAGAUUUUUCCUACUAUGGCUUUAAUCAGCAUUUGGUUUUACUUACAUUUAUGACGGACUCAAAAUAAAUGACUUUUUUGACUAAAUAUUAUCACCAAAUGCGGGUUGUUGCGUUUAUUCUGCCACUCAGUCAUGGAAUCACCGUAGUUUGAAACAUCUCGAGGUUGUCUUGUACAGUUGUCUUCAGGGCUGACAAUGCCUGCCUUGUGCGGCUCUCACUAUACUUUGAAGGAGCAUCCAAGCAUUGGCAGCGGUCUAAAGAAAUUUGGAUUAAAGUUUGGGAAUACGUUUGCUGGAUCUGCCGGAUUACUAAUAAAAAGCCUAUGAUGCUGUAUCACUUAGGAUGUUGCCUUUCGCUUCAAGUAACAUAAUGUAGAUUCUAAUAAAAAAAAUGAUAGGGGAGUUCCCGUUGUGGCGCAGUGGUUAACGAAUCCGACUAGGAACCAUGAGGUUGCGGGUUCGGUCCCUGCCCUUGCUCAGUGGGUUAACGAUCCGGCGUUGCCGUGAGCUGUGGUGUAGGUUGCAGACGCGGCUCGGAUCCCGCGUUGCUGUGGCUCUGGCGUAGGCCGGCGGCUACAGCUCCGAUUCAACCCCUAGCCUGGGAACCUCCAUAUGCCGUGGGAGCGGCCCAAAGAAAUAGCAAAAAGACCAAAAAAAAAAAAAAAAAAAAAAAAAGAUAGGAAAGAACUUAUUUACAAAACAGAAACAGACUCAGAUUUCCAAACCACACCAAAGGGGGGACGUGGGGGAGGAUAAGUUGGGAGGCUGGGAUUAACAUAGAUACACGACGGCAUGCAGAAUAGGUAAAACAGUAAGGACGGACUGAUAGCACAGGGAAGUCUACUCACGACUGUGUCAUCACCUACAAGGGAAAAGACUCUGAAAAGAAAGGGGUAUAUGUGUCACUGAUUGACUUCAUUGUACACCUGAAACUAACACCGCAUUGUAAGCCAACUGUACUCUGAUGGGGAAAAAAGCCGGUGUGGUGGCCGAAACCAAUGAAUUUCUUUCUGAUUAAGAAGUCUGCAGCUGCUGGCCUGGGUUUCAGCUGCUCCAUGAUGUCAGGACUGGCAUUGCUGCAAUUCGUGUGACUUUUCACUUCUGACUGCUGCCCAGGGUCGCAAGGUGGCUGGUGUGUCUUCAGGCCUCACUGCUGUGUGCAAGAAAGAAAGGGCACAAGCAAAGAGCUGUGCCAGGGUCUGCCUUAUGUCUCAGGAAGCCUCCAGUGUCACCUGUCAGAACUUGCUUUCAGCAAGAGCCUUGGGAAAGCAGGGCACAGGCUUACCAUGAAUGGCCUUACACCAUCACGAGCUGGAAAGGAGGAGUGCUUAUGAUGCAAGGACUAGGCCGCCGAUUCUGUCUGCCACAAAUGUGACUCGCUGGUGGGCUGCCUGGGAGCAGCUUCCAAAAGCAAUGGCAGAAGGGACAGUGGUGGCGUCUCGAGGGUGUCGGAGAAGCCCUUGCCCGCUCGUAGAUACUCUGGCACUGUGUUCAGGAAAAAGCAGCCGUGUUUGUCUGCACUUUCUGCUUGUUAGUGUUUCGGACUUCGCUUUCUGAUCAAACUGCAUUUUUCCUUAAGAUAAGGUCGAGAUUGUUUUAGGAUGCUGUGGAUAUAGAAUUGCCCGCGUUUUGGAGGCACUAAGAACCUGGCCGGGUAAAGAUUCAAAUGGAAAUCCAUCUAAUUCCACGUGUGUCGAGUCGCUCCAGGAGGCAGCAGGCUGUGCUUGGCUUCUUACACUUUCAUGGACCGCUGCUGCUGUGACAUGCUGACAUCAUCCCACCUCUAAAAUGUGCCAGGAUGUUCCCAGGAAUAUAGUCUGCCUCCAGGGGUCUCUGAAUGCAUCAGAAAACCCCCGCAAUGACAGAAACCUCAGAAAUACGCUCAGGCAGACCUGACUGGUGCUUUUGACCGAACUGAAUCCAGAAUUGGAAGUUCAGUAGUCAGAACCUUUAGGGGUGUGCAGUGCCUCUGACUGUAUUUCCGCGGCAUCACGCUUCAGAGUGUGAAACCCAGGGAGUGAAGCAGAUGAGUGAACAGACAGGUCUGUUCCCUGUAGUCACGAAUGCCAGGUUCUAGGUUGGGCAGCGUGAGUGUCUGUGGUGGACGUUCUGAGUCAGGUUAAUUGCUGAGAAAAGGAACAAGGCAAAACAGAUGGUAGACGGCGAAUCAUUAGAGGAGGAUUUCGGGCCAGUGCCUCGGGGUCCUCCCUUUGUGGCCAGAAACUAAGGGAGCAGAAGGGACCCUGUGCCAGAAGCAUCUGGACAAUGGGUGAUGGAGCCAGGAUGCUCCCCUUGCCAGUGGUGGAUAACGCAGCCCAAACUACUUAGCAGAACGCUGGUUCGUUGACUCACAUAAUUGAUCAGGCCGGGGUCCAGCUGGGUGCGGUGGUUGCCGAGUCGCCAGUAGACUUGGCCUCUUCAUCUCCGACUUGGAUCUGUUGUCCUCAGUCUGUUGCCUCAUUCUCUCCCCCUCCCUCGCCCCCAGGUUGUCUUUCAUGGGCACGUUCUUUGAACUUGAUGGCUGGGAGGCAGAGUAGGGGCUUCCUCUCUGACCCGUGCAGCCAAGCUGAAGCCUGGUGGGUUGAUGGCAUGGGGGCGUCCAUCCCAGUGGUGAGAAGGCAAGACCCACUGGUUGGUUUGGAUCAGUCCAUGUCCACCUCGCGCCCGGGACACUCAGUGCUCCUGCUCUUCUUGCUGGGUCCUCUUGGCAAAUCCAUGACACACCCCAUGGGCUGCACUGUGUGUGGAGAGGCGGGUCUGGAGUGUGAUUUUGCAGGACUUGGAGGAAAGGGAAAUUCUAGGCCCCUCCCCAGACCCACUAAAGCAGAAACUCUUGAGGGUGGCACCGCCAGUGCUCUCACAAACCCUCCAGGAAUUUGCAGGUUAAAGUUGGAGAACCAGGAGUUCCUGUCGUGGCUCAGCGGAGAUGAAUCUGAUGAGCAUCUGUGAAGACACAGGUUCGAUCCCUGGCCUCACUCAGUGGGUUAAAGAGCUGCUGUGGUGUAGGCUGGCGCCUACAUUUCCAAUUUGACCCCUAGCCUGGGAACCUCCAUAUGCCACAGGGAGGGCCCUGAAAAGCACAAAAAAAAAAAAAAAGUUGGAAAACCACUGGCUUAAGAGAAACUGACUCCUGUGAGAAAGAGGCCUGGUUUGAGGGAGACUAGAUUUUCAUAGCAAUAAUGGCAGUUUAGCCAAAGGUCAAGUUAGAUGAACUUCGAGAAUCUGUCAAAUGCCAGAAAACGAGAGAGAAGAAAAAUAAGUGUUAGAGAGAUGGCUGUGUGCUGUCUGAACGUGGCUAUUUUGACCCUGAAAAAAUGCAAAUGCAUUUUUGUUCCCUGAGCGCACACUCUGCAGUCCAGUAAUAAUGCAUUGUAAACAGACCAUAUUAAAGCAAAACAGUUCUCUAGAUUUUUUUUUUUUUUCAAUAUUUGCUCUAAAUAGUUAUUUGGUAAUACACAUUUUUCUAUUUUGUAGCGUCCCUAAAUAGCAGAGGUCUCAUUCAAAGGAGCCAACUCAUGCUGCUUAGUGCCAGAAUGUUCGCGGAGUUUUCGUUGGGCUAAAUAAAGCACUGGAGCGAUUGUCACCCCUGUGGUGGUGCUGGGCCCUCGACCCAGUAGGGAAAUUAGGGACUAACGGUUCCCGUCCCCUCCACAAGCUGGAGCUGGCCUUAGACUAAAUGGCGCCAAAGGGGAGCCGCGACCUCUGAUUUUCUUCUUAGCCACUUAUCUUCAGAUUGCAGUAGCCCACGCUUUUGGUCCCAAAGUCAGACCCUGGCUUUUACAAGGAGGGGAGUGUUGCAUCCGUGGUUGACCAAUGCCCAGCAGAAUCCGCUUCACACUUAAGCGUUACACUGAGCCACAGAGGGAACUCCAGGUUAAGAACCCACCUGGUUUUCCAUGAGGAUGCACGUUCCAUCCCUGCCCUCACUCAGUGGGUUAGGGAUCUGGCAUUGUGUGAGCUGUGGUGUAGGUGGCAAAUGUGGCUCAGAUCUGGUGUGGCUGUGGUGUAGGCCGGCAGCUACAGCUCCACUUCGACCCCUACCUAGCCUGGGAACCUCCAUACGCUGCAGGUGCGGCCCUAAGAAAAAAAAAGAACGUUUAUCUAGAAAUGUUAGCACUGAGAAAAAGACCAGCGGGAACGGCAAGUGGUGGUUUUCUGUUGGAGGAUGUGUUACUUGAAGUCAGAGUUGGUUCAGCAGCUCGAAGGGCCUGCUCUUCGGAAUCCCCUGUUCUUGGCUUUCACCAGCCCGGGGUCCACAGCACCCCUGUUAAGCUCUGAACUUUCUGCCUCUCGGAACAGGGGCCAUGGACUGUGAUGGCCCGAUGGCAUAUGCCCUCCAGACGUCAUAGAUGGGUGGUCUUGCAGAUGCAGGGACUCGGGCAGUUGGCUGCCCAGCUCUUGGUUUUCUUUAUGGCAAAUUGUUUGAAGGCCAAGUGAUUACUUGGGCAUCCACUGGGGUGCCUUGUAGAGUAAGGGUGCCUCCCUCAUGCGUGGAUGGUGGGGCCUGUGUUACCUACUGUGCCUCUGGAAGGACGCUCUCUGCCCUUGGCACUGUCCCGUCUCCCCCACCCCUGCCAGCCAGCAGCAGAAUUCUAGAAGCGUGCGCUCAGGCCUCAGCAUGUAGGAUUCGGGGCGUGUCUCUGCUGGGCCACCUGCCGACUGUGCUCUUUGG